rnacentral:rRNA from 1 species
AGCAGCCGCGGUAAUUCCAGCUCCAAUAGCGUAUAUUAAAGUUGUUGCAGUUAAAAAGCUCGUAGUUGAACUUCGGGGUUUACCCAUUGGUCAGGCUUAAUUGUCUGCACUGGUGAGAUGAAUCUCUACCUUCUGAGGAACUUUCAUGCCAUUUAUUUGGUGUGAUGGGAAAUCAGGACUGUUACUUUGAAAAAUUAGAGUGUUUAAAGCAGGCUAACGUCUGAAUACAUUAGCAUGGAAUAAUGAAAUAGGACGGACUGAUUCUAUUUCGUUGGUUUCUAGGAUCACCGUAAUGAUUAAUAGGGAUAGUUGGGGGCAUUAGUAUUCAAUUGUCAGAGGUGAAAUUCUUGGAUUUAUUGAAGACUAACUACUGCGAAAGCAUUUGCCAAGGAUGUUUUCAUUAAUCAAGAACGAAAGUUAGGGGAUCGAAGACGAUCAGAUACCGUCGUAGUCUUAACCAUAAACUAUGCCGACUAGGGAUCGGAUGAUGUUAAUUUUUAAUGACU